rnacentral:rRNA from 1 species
GAUGAACGCUGGCGGCGUGCCUAAUACAUGCAAGUCGAGCGAACGGACGAGAAGCUUGCUUCUCUGAUGUUAGCGGCGGACGGGUGAGUAACACGUGGAUAACCUACCUAUAAGACUGGGAUAACUUCGGGAAACCGGAGCUAAUACCGGAUAAUAUUUUGAACCGCAUGGUUCAAAAGUGAAAGACGGUCUUGCUGUCACUUAUAGAUGGAUCCGCGCUGCAUUAGCUAGUUGGUAAGGUAACGGCUUACCAAGGCAACGAUGCAUAGCCGACCUGAGAGGGUGAUCGGCCACACUGGAACUGAGACACGGUCCAGACUCCUACGGGAGGCAGCAGUAGGGAAUCUUCCGCAAUGGGCGAAAGCCUGACGGAGCAACGCCGCGUGAGUGAUGAAGGUCUUCGGAUCGUAAAACUCUGUUAUUAGGGAAGAACAUAUGUGUAAGUAACUGUGCACAUCUUGACGGUACCUAAUCAGAAAGCCACGGCUAACUACGUGCCAGCAGCCGCGGUAAUACGUAGGUGGCAAGCGUUAUCCGGAAUUAUUGGGCGUAAAGCGCGCGUAGGCGGUUUUUUAAGUCUGAUGUGAAAGCCCACGGCUCAACCGUGGAGGGUCAUUGGAAACUGGAAAACUUGAGUGCAGAAGAGGAAAGUGGAAUUCCAUGUGUAGCGGUGAAAUGCGCAGAGAUGUGGAGGAACACCAGUGGCGAAGGCGACUUUCUGGUCUGUAACUGACGCUGAUGUGCGAAAGCGUGGGGAUCAAACAGGAUUAGAUACCCUGGUAGUCCACGCCGUAAACGAUGAGUGCUAAGUGUUAGGGGGUUUCCGCCCCUUAGUGCUGCAGCUAACGCAUUAAGCACUCCGCCUGGGGAGUACGACCGCAAGGUUGAAACUCAAAGGAAUUGACGGGGGCCCGCACAAGCGGUGGAGCAUGUGGUUUAAUUCGAAGCAACGCGAAGAACCUUACCAAAUCUUGACAUCCUUUGACAACUCUAGAGAUAGAGCCUUCCCCUUCGGGGGACAAAGUGACAGGUGGUGCAUGGUUGUCGUCAGCUCGUGUCGUGGGAUGUUGGGUUAAGUCCCGCAACGAGCGCAACCCUUAAGCUUAGUUGCCAUCAUUAAGUUGGGCACUCUAAGUUGACUGCCGGUGACAAACCGGAGGAAGGUGGGGAUGACGUCAAAUCAUCAUGCCCCUUAUGAUUUGGGCUACACACGUGCUACAAUGGACAAUACAAAGGGCAGCGAAACCGCGAGGUCAAGCAAAUCCCAUAAAGUUGUUCUCAGUUCGGAUUGUAGUCUGCAACUCGACUACAUGAAGCUGGAAUCGCUAGUAAUCGUAGAUCAGCAUGCUACGGUGAAUACGUUCCCGGGUCU